UGUAUUCGGAUUCAUACGCACAUUGUUUACAAAAAAAGAUUCUUCUUUGAAUAAGUAGACCGAUAAAUUUUCCAUUAAAGAACAAAAAUUUCAACUUUUUUUUAAAUCACAGUCUAGAGAUUUUGUUUUCAAUCCUUGGGAAUUACUUAUCUAUAUCUUUCGAAUAGCAAAUUUGGUAAAUUAAGAUAUACUAAGCUAAGGAGGGAAUAAAAUAAUCUUUGUUAUUAACAAUUCCACUUGUAUAACUACAUACUCGUACAUAUCCAUACAUUCACAGUUUUUUCCACAAAACCUUCAUCUUUUAAUGGAAAUUUAUCUUUUGAACCAGAUUUUCUUUUGCCUAAUUAGAUAAAUUCUCUGGUAAUUGUGUCAUUAACGUAUUUACAUUUUAACUGUCUGAGCUAUAAACAAUAGAAACCAUAGCAAUUACCGUAAUGGAAAGAAGAGAUGGAGUUCUGGAUUUAACUUUGCUGUUAUUUUGAGAUUGAAUAAUGAUAAAGUUUAUUUCUCAAAAAAGGAAUUCAAUAUAUUACAUUUCUAUGUUAAGAUUUAACGUUUUCUUGGUUUGACCGUAUAUAUAUAGAAGAUUGCAACAAAUUAGUAUAGUAUUGGAGUCUCGGUGUAGCUGACAUUUUGGAAACUUUACCGUGUUUGCAACGAAUAUGGUAUCACCGCAUGGUGUUUGGGUUGUUUCAUUAAGGAUUUUUUUGGAGAUAUACAUAAUAUUAUCGCAGUUUUUAAAUAAAAUUGUAAUGGAACUCAUAUUGAUUAAAGCUUUUUGAGCAGUUCACUUUCAAUACAAAAUAAACCUACGGGUGAAGGGGUUUUUACAUCAAGGAUUUGAUCAUUAUACCUAUGUUAUGUGCAGAACCAUGGAGUUUAACAUCAGAAGCUAUAUUUCUACAUUUCGC